AUGAACGCUGGCGGCGUGCUUAAUACAUGCAAGUCGAACGAAGAGCCUUUGUAGCAAUACGGAGGUUUCUUAGUGGCGAACGGGUGCGUAACGCGUUGGUGACCUGCCCCGAAGUGUGGGAUAACAGUUCGAAAGGACUGCUAAUACCGCAUGUGGUCCUCCGGGUUAGAGGCUGGAGGUCUAAAGCAGUAAUGCGCUUUGGGAGGGACCUGCGUCCCAUCAGCUAGUUGGUGAGGUAAUGGCCCACCAAGGCUACGACGGGUAGGGGACCUGAGAGGGUGGUCCCCCACAUUGGCACUGAAACACGGGCCAAACACCUACGGGUGGCAGCAGUAGGGAAUAUUGGGCAAUGGGCGAAAGCCUGACCCAGCAACGCCGCGUGUACGAUGAAGGUCUUCGGAUCGUAAAGUACUUUUCUGAGAGAUGAGAAAGGACAGUAUCUCAGGAAUAAGUCUCGGCUAACUACGU
rnacentral:rRNA from 1 species